rnacentral:rRNA from 1 species
AACGAACGCUGGCGGCAGGCUUAACACAUGCAAGUCGAGCGCCCCGCAAGGGGAGCGGCAGACGGGUGAGUAACGCGUGGGAAUCUACCCAGUUCUACGGAACAACUGAGGGAAACUUCAGCUAAUACCGUAUACGCCCUACGGGGGAAAGACUUAUCGGAAUUGGAUGAGCCCGCGUUGGAUUAGCUAGUUGGUGAGGUAACGGCUCACCAAGGCGACGAUCCAUAGCUGGUCUGAGAGGAUGAUCAGCCACACUGGGACUGAGACACGGCCCAGACUCCUACGGGAGGCAGCAGUGGGGAAUAUUGGACAAUGGGCGCAAGCCUGAUCCAGCCAUGCCGCGUGAGUGAUGAAGGCCUUAGGGUUGUAAAGCUCUUUCAGUGGGGAAGAUAAUGACGGUACCCACAGAAGAAGCCCCGGCUAACUUCGUGCCAGCCGCCGCCGUAACAC